GGUCUCCUUCUGUCUUCGAAACUUGCCUGACCUCCCUCUGGUUGUCUCCUGCCCCGCCCUCUGUCUCUGUCUCCCCAUCUCUGUUGCUGUCUCUGUGUCCCCUGGGACCUUGAAAGUGGGUAUUGGGGCCCCGGGAAGGGACUUUGGCCGGACUCGGGCCCCACCCGAGUGGAUCGUUAACCCAGGAUGUGAGAAGUGGCUGUGUGGAGAGGCCUCACCCCUUCCCUUCCUUUCGACCUCUCUCUGGAUCUCCCUUAUCCCCCUUCAUGGCGAAACAUCCCGAGCACAGACCUGUGUUAAUUCCACCUCCACCCCUUGCUCCCGGUGGGACCUCAGACAAGCCAUCCCCUGCCUUGAGACUCAGUUUGUUCUUCUGGAAAAUGGGACCAAUGGCAACCCCUGCCUGCUGGUGUUGUGGGGGCCACAGCAAGGGAAGAGGGGAGGAAUUCGGUUGGACAGGCUGGGGGCUGUGUUCCCUGCCCAUCCAACCCCACCCCUGGGGACCCUCAGACACAGGAGAGGGGUGUGGAGCACUAUCCCAAUGCACAGAAAGGAAAGCUGAGGUUUGGAGGGGCGAGGCUUAGGGUGGGGACCCUCAGAGGUAGGGUGGGAAGGACACCCAAGCCUGUCCCACUCCUGGCAUCCCAGGGCAGCUGGUGCAGUGGUUCCAACCUAGCAGGACUGUAGAGGGGAGAAGAUGUGAUGGGUCCGGUGGGAGCUUCGAAGGGCUGGGAGAGACGGUGCUGCUGGAAGAGAGGGUGCUGAUGGUUCUCUGAGGUUGGAAGAGGGAUAAAAGGGUCAGAAGGAGGAGGAUCUGAAGAAGGAAGAUAGGUCUGAGAGAGAAGUAGAUGGUUUAGUGGGAGGAGGGGGAGAGGAUCUGAAGGAGGAGGACAGGGUCUGUUGGAGGAGGUAAGGGUCUGAUGGAGGAAAUAAGGGUCUGAGGGUGGAGGCGAGGUUUGGAGGGAGGAGGUGAAGGUCUGAGGGAGGAGACAAGGGUCUGAAGGAGGAGAUAAGAGUCUGAGGAAGGAGGCGAGGGUUUGAGAGAGGAGGUGAGGGUCUGAAGGAGGAGGUGAGGGUCUGAAGGUGGAGGUGAGGUUCGGGGGGAGGAGAUGAGGGGCUAAGGGAGGAGGUGAGGGUCUGAGAGAGGAGACGAGGGUCUGA
rnacentral:lncRNA from 10 species